AACCAGGAGAAAACAGAAAUAGCUCAACAAGAAAAUCUACUGCAUCCCCAAGGCUACAGAAAGAAUGGAUCCUUUUAAUGAAGCCAGAAUGAAUAAGGACUUCUAUAGAAGCAGUGCUGCCAAGAUAUGAAAAUCCAUGUGUGUCUGCCAGUCAUUGGAAUGAGGAGAGAAUUCCCUCCCUGACUAAAGAGAGAAAUUCACCCUGAAUGAUUACUCUCUCCUCUGAAGAGCGAACAUCCCUUUUCCAACAUUACAACAAGGAAUUAUUAGUAAAGAGUGAAAAGCAGCUGAGCUGAGCAGAGCCUCCCUCACCCAAAGGCUUAAAGCUGAAAGUCCACCCUGCCUAUCCUACUUCUGAUAUUAAAUCUACCACCACAAAAAAGGAGGGUCAGAAGAGGAGGGAAGCUGGCAGAACGAGCAUGCAAGAAAUCAGGAGACAGCUUGGAAACACAUGCAUUUCCUGCAAGAUGUGGGGGAUGUGCCAGAACUACUAAGGGAAUCCUACAAUUUAUGGGAAUGUUAAUUACUAGCAAUGCAUAUACACCUUUC